CCAUUGUCAUUUUGGCUUCACAAAUCUUGGUAGGGAGGGUGAGCUGGUCCUCAAAUACCAAUGGUUUCUGGGUGGCAAAACACCAACUGAUUUUCAGCCUAUUCCUGAAGCAUUGAGCGAGGUAUGAUACUCCUUUAAGUGAUCUGCAUCAGACAAAACCAUGCUUUAGACUUUUGUACAGUGAUCCAUGCCUCCUCUAGUCUCUAAGCAGUACUUGUGGUUUAUAUUUGAUGUAUGGUUGUACCCAUCACACUUCCAGUCUGCUUCCUCUAUUUUGAUCAGCACCAUUUGAAUGAGGUUGAAAUGACAAAAUAACCUUGGUAUAAUGGUAUUGUGAGUACUUUCUAAAAUGGUUAAGGACGACAAUUGACCCAAGCAGUAAGGUGACACCUGUCGUUUGAUCUCUUGUUUGCCAAAAGUGCCUAACUGUAUUGGUUAUUACUAUUAUAUGUUUAUAUGUUGUUUGGACAAAGGAUUCAGACCAUAAUUCUCAUGACAUGAAAUUGAGACCACACUAAUCUUACAAAAUCUUCAGGAUCUAGUACACAUUUUAUCUCGUUUAAUUGACAUUUCCUGGUCAUAUCAAAUACAAACACUUGUACCUCUUAUGGCACUGAUAUUAUCUGCAAAUUUUAAGUCCCUGCCAUCAUUGUUGCACCAUUUUGCUGUUAUGCAACCUUUUUGCAAGCUCUAAACCCUUGCUAUAUGUAAACAUAAGGUGUACUGGCCGAAGCACGAGGAUGUUGGAAGAUGUUUGAAAGUUGAAUGCACUCCGAUACUGAAUGGUGCUGAAUUUCCGCCCAUCUUUGCUGUAUCUUUACCUGUUUCUCCAGGUACUUUAAACGCUCAUCUUGUUCAGCAGUAUUUGUUAAGCCAGAUUUGUCAAGCUAGCUGUUUGAUAGAGGCCAAGUUUGCAUUGUAGAUAGUUGUAUAAUACUCCAGUUGUAAAAUUAUGAAACCCUUUCAGUAAAAGUGCUCAGGCACUUCAUUUGCUGUCCCACAAUAUUUUGGGUUCUUGUUAGGGAGAUGAUUUGGCAUUCUUAUGGGGUGGUAAUUGUUUCACUGUCCUGCUGGCUGCUGCUAGCGAGAUCACUUAGUGUAAUUGAUGCACCUAAUUACUUAAAAUCAAAACUGUAAAGUGGGGCUAUAUGUUCCUCUACUCAGUCAGCUUUUGUUCACCAGGUACUGGAUGUCCAAAGGUCAUCAAUUUGACAGUCAGUGGUGAACUAGUGGAAGGAAACAUACUAAGUGGAGUUCCUGAAAUUGCUUGGUGUGGUGGAACACCAGGAAAAGGUGUUGCAAGGUUUGUUUACCCUAUUUAUUCUGUAUCUAUCUUGGCCAAAUGAAAAUUCUAAAUGCGCUCAAAACAUUCUAAAUGCGCUCAAUUCUAAAAGUUUCCUAUCUACGAAAUGCCACUGAUUUUAUUAAUCCUCUUUCGAGUCUAGUUGGUUAAGGCGAAGGUGGAAUGGCAAUGCUGAAGUAAUCGAUGGAGCGGAGGGGAUGGAAUAUCAGCUGACAGUCAAUGAUAUCAAUUCAAGUUUGGUCUUUAUGUACACCCCUGCUACAGAUGCAGGUGUCAAGGGGGAGCCGCAAUGUACAAUGACAGAUUUUGUAAAGGCUGGUAUAGUACUUUGUCCCGGCAAUUAUCCUAUUAAUGCUCUCGUACUCUUUUAGUUUUCUAGAAUUUCCCAUUUUCCCCUCUAUUAAACUAAACAUACACGCUACAUGUUUGGUUGGGUUGAAAGCAUCUCUUCCAUCAUGUUUGUAAAAGGGUAGCAAUGCAUUUUAAAUUAGCCCAAAAUUAAUGGGUUUCUUAAAUUUUUUCAUGUGACAUAUGCUUGAAAUCCUGUUGAUGGAAGAAUUAGGAUCUUCUUUUUCUUAGGAAAUUCUCUAGAAAGUAUGUUUUCAAGAAUUUGUGUAUAACUGUAUAUACAGUAUUGGCAGUUGAAAAGUAACUGAUGAUGGUUCAUCUGGUUAUAGUUGUUAAUUUUUCAAUUCUUGAGAGCUUGUUUGGAUAAAAGAGUAUUGGAGUGGAAUGAAGGGGAUUGAGUCUUAAAUGAACUAAUUUUCCCUCCAAUCCCUCCCAUUCCACUUCAGUCGACUUCUAUCCAAACAGACCCUGAUAGAACUGUUUGGUUGUUUUGACAUUUGAAGUAUUUUUUAUAUUUGAGUAGUCAUGUCAGUCUCAAUUUGAAAGUUCAAGAAGCUGUUCAUAAGCCUUAGGGAACCAGUGCCAACAUUUAUCUCCUUUUCUAAUGUUUAUAGCUGUUUGCCUAUGACAUUGUUUCAGCAACACCAUCAGUCAGCGAUGUACAUGUUCUGGGAGAUAUUGUUGAAGAUAAUGUUAUCAUAGGAAAGGGAAAAUACUUUGGUGGCCGAGAGGGACUAAGCAAAAUCCGGUGGUUUAGAGAGAAGGAAAAUGGGUAUGUGCCACUAGUUGCCAUAUCGAAGUUUUGAACUGAGGAAAAACUGGUGUUAGAUAGAUUUUUCAUAUCUAGCUAGCAUCAGAGUUCUUAAAAUCAUUGGCAUUAUGAUAUACUAGGACAACAUGUUGUGUGCCAUUGAUAGCACACGUUUCCAUGCUUCUUGAAGCAUAGAUUCUGCUUACACAUUGAAGUAUUUCCUAUAUAUUUUACAUAAUUCUUGAAAGUCUGUAAUGUUGAAUAAUUACAUGUUAACAAAUAACAACUAAGAACACUUGGACAAAAUAUUGCCGCUUAACACUUUUAAUAUAGAGAUAUGUCCUGAGAAUUUUGUGCUGCCAAAAGCCCAAAACAUUUCAUCUUCAUGAUUGAAAGGACAAAGGAGCCAUUCUUAUGAUUUCACUAGAAAUGAUUACUUGCUGUGGCACCUAUUGUUGGAGUUGUUCAAAUAGAUUGGGAGACACAUCAAGCAGUCUCUCGACUGAACCUUUUUAUCUAUAUGGUUUUAAGGAGCAACUUUUGACAAAAGUCAACUUUGGAUCUGCUGAAUACUUGUAAACUAAAUAGUGAAAAAAACACCAUGUGCACAAGUGGACUGGACACCAAGUAAACAACAUGUCAUGUAAUCUAAACUGCCAGAGAACUGGAUGAACUCAAUUGCAAAACCAGAAGUAAUCCAUAAUUCCAUUUAACUAAGUUGAAUGGCUGUGGACACAUAUUUUAUGCUAAUGGGAAAUUAUUUGUUUGUAUGCAGUGAAUUUCUUCUUGUGCUGUCAGACAGCAUGGAGUAUACACUUACUAACGAGGACGUGGGCAGGCACCUCAAAUUUGUAUAUACCCCCGUCAACCUUGAAGGUUUGUUGAACUGGCAGGCGUUAGCUGUAACAUGUCUACUGCUUGUUGGCACAAAUGUUAUUUUACACUAACAUAUACUGAUGAUUUCUCCAGGCGAGGAAGGUGAAUCUGCUUGCGCACUAACAGAUGUAGUUAAGAAAGGUACUAAUGUUUGACAUUUGUGCAGUUGUGCCAAUUGUGACAUUUUUCCUUUCGGGAUAAGACUGAAUAUAUGUAUGAUUACUUUGCUUUGCGCUCCUCGUUUGGUCAGCCCCUCCAAAAGUCUUCAAUUUAAUGAUUAUUGGGGAAGCAAGGGAAGGAAGCAAGAUAUCUGCUAGUGCUACUGUCACAGGUGGAACUGAAGGGUCCAGUAGGGUUCAAUGGUACAAGGCAUCUUCCUCCGAAUUUAAGAAUGAACAUGAGCUUGAAGCCCUUAGUACAUCAAAAGUUUCUAAAGUAAGAUCAGUUGUGUUCUCUACUAAUGUCAUUGAUGCACUGCUCAAUACUUUAGGCUUUAUUAUUUGUUUUAUUUUGUUUAAUGUGAUAGAACUGAAUUUCAAUCUUCUUUUGAUUCCAUUAGACAUUCCGCAUUCCUCUCAGUGCUGUUGGAUAUUAUAUUGUCGCAAAGUUUACACCUGUGGCACCUGACGGUGAAAUCGGUGAACCAGCGUAUGCUAUAUCAGAUGGCGUUGUGGAAAGUAAGUACAUGUUAGUUGACCUUAUUAUUUGUGCUAAAAAGCUUCUUUUGAGUGUUCGUUCUGGCAUUUCUAAUUAUUAUGUUCACAUGUCAUGGCAAUUCAUAGUUCAGCCCACCUGUCCAUUAUGUGCCCACACUCAAUGGCUUAUUUGUGCUAAAAUGCUUCUUUUGAGUGUCCAUUCUGGCAAUUAUGUGUAAUAUUUUAGCCAUUCAUAGUUCUGCCCACCGGUUCACCAUCUGACCACACUCAAUGGCAACUAUCUGGAUUAUUUCAUCCGAAUGACCUAGAAGGGGAGAAAUGAUAGUGCUUAUUCCUCUAGUGGAGUAUUCCCAUGAAUUUAGGUGCCAGUAAAUUUGCCUUGGAUAUGGCUGUAGCACCGUUGGAACUGAAAUUAAACCAAGACUUUAACAUUCAUGUUUUGCAGUACAUAGGAUAAGUGAAACUUUGAAGAUAGAUCAAAUAAUUGGCAAUCGUCUUUCUGUAGAAGUGAUGGGUAGUCCUUUUGUUUUUAGCUGUCAAACCAUCAUUUGGGGAGGCACAAACUUGUGAUUUAGCCAGUCGUGCUGCCAUUUCUAUUUAAACAGCAUCACCUUUCUUUGUUGCAGCAUUGCCACCCAGCCUGAACUUCUUAACAGUGACUGGUGAAUUCUCUGAGGGUCAGAUAUUAACAGCAUCAUACGGGUACAUUGGGGGGCAUGAAGGAAAUAGUUUAUAUAGUUGGCAUCUUCAUGAGGUAUGUAUUGUAUUUUCUUGGUUGCUACUAAGUUAUGGGCAGUAAUGCUUGUUCUUUGGCCACUUCACUUAUAUGAAAUUUGACAGACUGAAGAUGAUGAAGGCACUCCAGCGUCGGAGGCAUCUGGUUUGCUACAAUACCGUGUUUCAAAGGAAGCUAUUGGAAAGUUUGUUUCUUUCAAGUGCACACCUAUCAGGGAUGAUGGUAUCGUUGGCGAGGCAAGAGUAUUCAUAGGAAAGGAUAGAGUUACUCCAGGUGCUUCUCUUUUCUAUUUCUGCCUUGAACAAUUUUUUGAAAUGGAAGAAAUUAUUUCUAUGUCAUGAAAGAGAUCUAUUUAUUUGCUUGCUUGGCCUGGAUGUCAGGAAAUGUAUAUUUAUAAACUAAUUAGACAGGAAAUGUAUAUUUAGAAACUAACUAGUGAAUGAACCUGGAUUCUCUAUUAAAUGACGAACUCAAAGAUGUGAAAAAUAAAAGAAAUAUGAGAAUUGUUGCACACUGCUAAAUUCUUUGUAGUUUUCUGCUUACAUUCUGUUUUCUGUGUCCAAGAAAAGAAAUUUUAGCUAUUCUUUUUGUACACAUGAAUCGAUUUAUCUUUCUUGGUUGCUGUUGUGAUAGGUUCUAGACACCUAUGACUAUGAUUGAAGAAAAAUUCUUCAUACAUAACAGCUUUGUUUCAAUUUCUUUGCAUUGCUGACAGGAAUGCCAACAUUACUUUCUCUUGAAGUAACUGGUGAGGCCAUUGAAGGAACAACUAUGGUUGCCAGCAAAAGAUAUUGGGGAGGAGAAGAAGGGGACACAAUGUUCCGCUGGAUAUUGGUAGGUUGCUGUUAUCAAGUACUACUUUUUUCCUUUUUACGUGGUAAUGUACGUAAGUACUAAUAACCAGAUUAUACCUUAACUAAUUACAUCUCCCAUAUGAAUUCUUGCUGGGUUUCAACUCUUAGGGUACUUUGGACUGAAAGCUUUGUUGUUGUUGUUGUAGGCAAGUUCUGAUGGAACUGAGAAAGAAAUUGAAGGUGCAACAAGUUCAUCGUAUACCUUGAAAUGCGAUGACAUUGGCUUCUACAUAUCUGUCUUGUGCAAGCCUGUUAGAAAUGAUGGAGUUCAGGGUUCUUUGGUGUCGACAGAAGUGAUUGGUCCUAUUAUACCAGGUAGAUAAAUCGACAACUGUUACCUCUUUGGAAAAUAUACAUUUUUCUUUACUGUGUUGCUUUGUGUGUGCACACUUGCAUGUGUGGGGGCAUUUGUUCCAACUUGUUGAUGAAAUUACAAAACGAACCGAUAUCUUUGUAAUCUACUUAUUUACAGGGCCACCAACAUGCCGAUCUCUUGAACUAGCUGGCUCUAUGGUCGAAGGUGGCCGUUUGACCUUCCAUGCUGAGUAUACUGGAGGGUGAGAUAUACACUACUGGUGUUCCAGGUUAUCAUUAAUGUUACUUGCUAAACUCUUUCCUUCUCAUUCUAGUUUGAGGGGAAGUUGCAUCCACGAAUGGUUCAGAUUACAUGACGAUGGUCGCAAGGAAAAGUUGACUGCCGGCGGUCAGUUCGUAUAGUCUUUUUUGGACAUAUGCUAUCGCACACAACUCCAAUAUUUGCUGUCCUUUUCUCAUUGCAGAACUAACUGUUAAUUGUUUUCUCAUAAUAGACUGUCUAGAUCUCGAUCUAGCUGAUGUCGAUUGCCGGAUCGAACUUAUACAUACACCUGUACGAGAAGACGGAUUACAGGGGUCACCCAGGAGUGUUAUUUCAGAUACAAUCUUACCUGGUUCGUGUUUCUUCACACAUUGCCUUAUUGUAGUUAAAACAUGGCUUGUAACUUUGUACUGUUUGCUACAAAAGGCUUUACAACUAGUACUUUCUUUUUCUUUUUCUUGUUUUGCUUGCGGUAGGACCACCACAAGAUUAUGGCAUAAGCAACCAUUUUAUGUGAUGCAGAGAUACAAAUUCUGUGCUGUGCGGUUAUAUGAUAUAAGCAUAUAAAAUAAAAACGAUAUUAAACAAGGGUGUCAGUCUAUGUAUUGACUAUAUGUUAACCCGUCCUUUCAUGCAGGGGAGCCCAAGGGUGUCAAUCUUAUUCUACCUGAGUGUUUUGAGGACAAUGAAAUUUCUCCCAUCAAAACUUACUUUGGUGGUAAGGAAGGCACUGGGAAAUAUAAAUGGUUUCGAAGCAAAGAGAGACCUGAUAAUUUGGAAUUUGAUCUUGUUGCUGCAUCUUCAGAAGUUGUUGGAGAAACCUUGUGCGUUCUUUUGCUUGCUAUAUCAAAUUUUUUAGUGUCGGGUAAUCCAUAUAACGAACUAAUCUGUUUAAAUGGAUUUUUUAACAGAAAAUACAAGCUUUCAUUGGAUGAUGUUGGUUCCUACCUUGUUCUUUAUUGGGUUCCUACACGAUGUGAUGGAAAGACUGGCGAUCCGGUGAUGGCUAUUACUGAUGACCCAGUCAUGGCAGGUUGCCCCUUGAUAUUCGUGCUUGACAUUUUUGUAUGUUCAUUCAUUGCCUCCAGAUCCUUACUCUUUUCAUUAUACUUGCAGCUUUUCCAUCUGUUUUGGAUGUUCACUUGGAGCAGAAAAGUUCAGAUGUGUAUUGUGGACUGGGCAUCUAUUAUGGUGGAUACGAGGGAUCAAGCUUGUAUAGGUGGUACAGGGAAUCUAGUGAUGGAACCAGGACUCGUAUAGAUGGUGCCAAUUCAGUCACAUAUGAAGUGACAGAUGCAGAUUACAGCUGCCAUCUAUUGUUUGGGUAAACUACUUUAGUCUAUGUUGAUAUAGUAUUUACACACUUGUGAUAUGACUCAGUUGCAUUGCUUUAUUCCAUAGUAUUAAGGUAAAACUAUUAAUAUAUGCAUUACUUUACAAUGGUAUACUAUAGAUAUACUUGAAGUUAUUAUAUUAUGAAUAUUUGGUUCGAAAAACAGUAGAACAUUCUUACUGGAUGGCUUAAUAAGAGAUUUUGUCAUUGGCAGAUAUACUCCUGUUCGUUCAGAUGGGAUAACUGGUGAAGAAAAGCUGUCUGAACCAUCUGAUGUAAUUUUGCCAGGCAAGUCUCUGAACCUAUUAGAUUUUGCUUUAUGUCACCCCCAUCAUGCUUAACCUCUAUACCCCAAUCCAACUUUCUCUGGCGCUAGGUCCUCCCUCAUCUUUGCAGUUUUUGUGUAACCACAUGUAUUCCUUAUCACUUUCCUUUCAGAACCACUCAAAAUCGAGACACUUGUUUUCAAGGGAAACCAGGUUGAGAGAGAGACACUAACUGUUGUUGAACAAAUUCCAAGCAAUGAGAUCCAACAACAUAUAUGGAAUAACUAUAAGAAGGAGAUGAAAUAUCAGUGGUAAGAAAAGUGAAUCUCUCCUCUCUCUUUAACUUUGUUCAAUUUGUACAUAGCACUUAUGUGGAUCUCUGGAUGCAGGUUUGUCUCUAGUGGAUCAGGAGAGGAUCAGUCUUUUGAACCAUUGGCAACCCAGUGCUCUCGCUCAUACAAAGUACGCUUUGAGGAUAUUGGUCGCUGCCUGAAAUGUGAAUGCUUUGCCACUGAUGUAUUUGGACGAUCCAGUGAGCUGGUAUCUGCUGUGACUACUACUAUUGCGCCAGGUCUUUCAACUUCCACCUAUGCCUCCUUUUCUUAAUGCCAAUUGAGCUUGCAUUUUUACAAUUCCUGAAAGUUAUUUUCUGUAACGAGCAAGCAUUGUACCUUUGCAAAGCAUUUUACAAUUCAUGAAAGUUAUUUUCAGUAAUGAGCUAACAUUCUACCUUUGUAAAGAAAGAGUUUCAUUAUUCUAGACAGUAUGAUUUGGAUUCUAAAGAAGUAUUACUGACUGCAAAAUCGGAUCUGUUCUUUAGGCUGAUACCACUGCAUCCUUUGACUACCUGUUGGGGUUUGGGGUGCAUCGUCUUUUUGUUAGUACAAUAUUUGUUGAUCCUGUCAUCGCAUGUAUAUGCUAAACCAACAAAAAACCAAAGUGCAAAACAAAGCCCAAGUAACUAGAAGUUCAGUGAAGAUGACAGGAUUUUUAUGGAUGAAUUUGUGCAUACUGCACACUAAAGAAAACACUCUUGGCUUAGUGUCUAAUGCAAUAUUGAACUCUGACUUGAAAGUCAAAUUGAAUCGAAUGUUGUGUCUGUGUCACUAUACAUUUUAUCAAAGAAUGAUGGAAUAUGCAAUACCAUUAAACAGUUUGCUAUUUGGUUUUAACAGGAAGGCCUAAAAUUGAAAAACUGGAGAUUGAAGGAAGAGGUUUUCACACUAACCUAUAUGCUGUUCGGGGUACCUAUAGCGGAGGCAAAGAAGGCAAGAGUAAAAUACAGUGGCUCAGAUCGAUGGUUGGAAGCCCUGAUCUUAUCUCUAUACCUGGUAUGAUUUGCUAUAAAUCUGUAAUACUAGUGACGUGUAUACACUUUAACAACAUUGCAAUGUUUAACUUUUAAUGUGCAUGAAUGUUUGCUCAUUUUUUGGUGCUUCUACGCAAUAUGCAUGUACUUUGAAGUUAUAAUAUAACUGAACCAACUUCUUGUGCAGGCGAAAUUGGAAGAAUGUAUGAAGCUAAUGUUGACGAUGUAGGGUAUAGACUUGUUGCAAUUUAUACACCUGUGAGAGAGGAUGGAGUUGAGGGACAACCUAUUUCAGUUUCAACAGAGCCGAUUGCAGUUGGUACAGUCAAUUCACUUACCUUCCCAUUUCCUGUUCAUGUUCAUUUGUCGUUGAUCCCUGCAAUUUUAUCUGGUUUUAAGCACUAAGCACGACUGCUUCUAUCAUCUUAUGCAGAGCCUGAAAUUUACAAGGAAGUGAAACAGAAGCUGGAUGAUGGUUCAGUCAAAUUUGAGGUGACACUGAUUUAAAUUAUAAUGGUUUAUUUCCUGGUAUUUUAGAGCCAAUCAUAGUGAGCUACUUGCCCUGCUGUUGUCUGUUGCUGAGAAUGAGCGUUUCUUAGUAGGCUAUUUUCCCUUCAAAUCCAAGUGCUGAUAAAUCCCACAGUAGAGUGACAAAUUCUUUCAAAAGCAACAAUAUUCAAGCCUAGUACUGCCCAAUUUGUGUUAUUUCAACAACAAUGCUAUAUGGUAUUUAUUAUCUUCCACGCAAUUUAUUCUUUGUUUUUGCCUAAGCAGGUUCUAUGUGACAAGGAUCGAACACCCAAAAAGGUAUGGCAUGCUCACCCUGGAGUUUAACAAUUCCUCAGCAUAAUACAAUGACAACUGAUAAUUGCUUUUUGCAAAUACAACAGGCACAAGUAAUGGGACAUUUGGAACGGAGAGUUUUGGAAGUGAAUCGAAAGAGGAUAAAAGUAGUAAAGCCUGGAUCCAAGACAUCAUUUCCAUCUACCGAAGUACGAGGAACAUAUGCUCCACCCUUCCAUGUGAGUUCUUCCCGCGAAAUCAGCAGAUAGAAAUUGCUGUUAUCCUGUUACUACAUCUAUUACAUGUAGAUAUUUGCUCGACUAUUAGAUGCAGAUACGAUGGUAACAAUGAAUCGAACCUUUCAGGUUGAGCUGUAUCGCAACGAUCAGCACCGCUUCAAGAUUGUCGUCGACAGUGACAACGAAGUCGACUUGAUGGUGCAGACGCGGCACAUGCGAGACGUCGUCAUCCUCACGAUCAGAGGCCUUGCCCAGAAGUUCAAC
rnacentral:lncRNA from 1 species